GCCGCCUUAGCUCAGUUGGUUAGAGCGCUUGCUUGUGGCGCAAGAGGCCCCUGGUUCGAAUCCAGGAGGCGGUACCA
rnacentral:tRNA from 1 species